rnacentral:rRNA from 1 species
CAGUCGAGCGAAUGGNUUGAGAGCUUGCUCUCAAGAAGUUAGCGGCGGACGGGUGAGUAACACGUGGGUAACCUGCCCAUAAGACUGGGAUAACUCCGGGAAACCGGGGCUAAUACCGGAUAAUAUUUUGAACUGCAUGGUUCGAAAUUGAAAGGCGGCUUCGGCUGUCACUUAUGGAUGGACCCGCGUCGCAUUAGCUAGUUGGUGAGGUAACGGCUCACCAAGGCAACGAUGCGUAGCCGACCUGAGAGGGUGAUCGGCCACACUGGGACUGAGACACGGCCCAGACUCCUACGGGAGGCAGCAGUAGGGAAUCUUCCGCAAUGGACGAAAGUCUGACGGAGCAACGCCGCGUGAGUGAUGAAGGCUUUCGGGUCGUAAAACUCUGUUGUUAGGGAAGAACAAGUGCUAGUUGAAUAAGCUGGCACCUUGACGGUACCUAACCAGAAAGCCACGGCUAACUACGUGCCAGCAGCCGCGGUAAUACGUAGGUGGCAAGCGUUAUCCGGAAUUAUUGGGCGUAAAGCGCGCGCAGGUGGUUUCUUAAGUCUGAUGUGAAAGCCCACGGCUCAACCGUGGAGGGUCAUUGGAAACUGGGAGACUUGAGUGCAGAAGAGGAAAGUGGAAUUCCAUGUGUAGCGGUGAAAUGCGUAGAGAUAUGGA